rnacentral:lncRNA from 1 species
CCAUCAAAAUUAUGAAUUUCAUCAAUAAGCAAAACUGAAUAUCAAUAAGGCAAUUUCAACUCAAAAUAAGCUCAAGAAAAAAAAAUGCCUAAAAAUAAAAAUUGAAGAUCAUUACUACAUAAAUGACUAGUACACAGUAACACAUACCAAGAAGAACUACAUUUUGUCGGAUUCUACGAGUUUACAUUAUGUAUCAAAAUAGCAGCAUUGGAAAGCACAACACAUACUCCUAUCUCUAGUUACAGUUUUCAUGUGCUGGAAGCUCCAUACACGAAUAGCUUUUGCACAAGGGAUAUAAACCAACUAAACCUAUUAAUGCCAACCAGAACGAGAACUAUCACUAUUUCAUCUUUAGCACUUGUGUUCAUAUAACAACAGCAUCUAAGUUUCCAACAUCCCUCUUUCGACUUUCUUUUUGUAAGAACAUCCCUCUUCCACCUUCUUUAUAUAAGAACAUCCCUGUUCCACUUUAAGCUUAAUGUUUCGCUACAUUGCACUUCUCAAAACAUGGAUUUUGGUGAAGGUUAUCAACACUCCAGGCUGACAGUCGCAUGAACUACACUGCGACUUUUUCAGCACAACAUGGAGUGUUCAUCCCUUUAAUGAAAUUGCCAAGCAUGCUGCAACCUAGACGCACAAGUACCAAUCCUAUAGAUUCUAAAUUUGAUAUAUAAAAAUUCAAUGUUAUAC